UACGGAGGGAGCUAGCGUUGUUCGGAAUUACUGGGCGUAAAGCGCACGUAGGCGGGUCGUUAAGUCAGGGGUGAAAUCCCGGAGCUCAACUCCGGAACUGCCUUUGAUACUGGCGAUCUUGAGAUCGGAAGAGGUGAGUGGAAUUCCCAGUGUAGAGGUGAAAUUCGUAGAUAUUGGGAAGAACACCAGUGGCGAAGGCGGCUCACUGGUCCGAUACUGACGCUGAGGUGCGAAAGCGUGGGGAGCAAACAGG
rnacentral:rRNA from 1 species